ACAAAAAAACAGUUAUCCAAUGUUUGAACUGAAAAAUGGGGUGUCAGUACAGAGUAAAGGUUCAGGCCACCAACUCUGGUAAUCUGAUUCUAAUAGCAGUCUUUGGUUUCAAACUUUGUAUUAAUCGAAAUCGGCACGCCCUUCUCUAAAACAUGCAGGCGUUGAGGCAUAUAUGUCCUUGCAAUCACAAACCACAAUUGAACACAGAAAGACUGAAUUGAACAGCGAUCCAAUUGAACUCUGAAGCCCCUGAACGCUGAACCAGAUAAGCAAAUCAAUCUGUUUUCAGUAGAAAAAACCCCAGCAUCUGAACUCUGAAGCACUGAACGGUGAAGCAGACAAGCAUCAAUCAAUUUUCAGUUGAAAACCUAGCGUUCUCUCUCUGCAUCAUACUAAGUUCAUAACAGCGCAGAACUAAUCAAGUAUUAUCCGGUGACCAACACUGACAAACCACAGCUGAAUACAGAGGUGAUCACUGGUUCAGUCUCUAGAACGAUUCAACCGAACUCUGAUGCAAAUUCUGAAAACAAAUAGCCUACUCUCUGAACACUGAACUUAACCCAAUAGGGCAUCACACAAUCUUCAGUUGGGACAGUCCCUGAACACCCAAGGAAGGAACCAGCAAUGGAGCCGUGCGUACUUGGAAGAAGAUCUCAUUCCUGCUGUGACCUUGAACUCCAAACUCUGAAUUGCAUGACGUACUGAAGCAACGAACACAUCUGCCACUAAUCUGCUCUACAACUUGCCUAAUGAGACCGCAGUGGGAGUGGAGUUUGCCUGUUCCAAGUCAGAGCUCGUCCUCGGGGGCUUUCAGCUGACCGUCCGAUCAAGCUUCCCGGUUCCUCAGCAAGUAUCUUAGUCAACUUGAAUUUCCGAGUCUCAGAUGAGAUGCCCUUUCGGCCGUCGCCGCUGCAGCUGCGGCGGCUGGCUCCAUGCCACCAUUUGGAGGGCGCGGGAAUGCUCGACGCGCCCGCGGGGAAGGAGGGGCGGAAAGGGAUGCAGGAUUGCAGGGAUGCUCGGAUGGUAAUGGAGCAUCCACCAUUGCUGCAGCUGAUGGAAUGGAGUGCUUGAGCUGUGCUUUGAGCGGGAGCGAAAGGAACUCUUCUGCUACAGUCUGAGCGGGGCGAUGAGUGGGGUGGGGCUUCGUGUUUCCGCUCGUGACGGAAGCUGGUGGCGGCAGCGGCGGCGCUAGAGCCGGAGAAGGAACCGACGAGGGGGAAGAGAACCAAACCAGGGGGCAAUUUGGUUAUUUCCUAUCCAAAACGAGGGGCUAUAUGUAAAUAAUCGGAUCGCGAUUAUGAAUCGCGAUCCAAACCAAGGGGCUAUAUGUAAUCGCGACCCGAAUUAGGGGGCACGUUGUAAAUAUCGAUGGCCGGCGACAGGGCACCCGGCUAGGUCCUCGGGCCUCGGCGACCUCUACCUGCCCCGGCGAUAUGCAUCCGGGCUUUCUUCCCCAGAGUAACGCCCCAGCUGUUGUCCCCGGCCUAGCGCGCGGGGCGCUCCAGGCACUACCUAGCUCCAGCGCUGGAUGGAUGCGGGGAUGCUCGGAAGGCGAUGGUGUCCCCAGACUCCACCGAUUGGCGGCCCCGCGACGGGGAGGAACGAAGCGUCUCGAUCGACCACGCCACCAAUGUUCCUGGUUCAAUUCACCCCAUCCUAUGUUAAUUGUUCAAUGAGGAACACAUUAUUAGAUGAGGUGUUUUUUCCAUAAGUCUCAAGUGGAAUAAUGUGAUCUUGGGAUCAGGAUAGUCAGCUGCUCUGGAUCAUAUGUUAGAGAGGCGUUUCUUUUCUCAAAGUCAGAAGUGGAAUAGUAUGAUCUGGGGAUCAAGAUGGCCAGUUGCUCUGGGCAUAUGCUAGAAUGGUCAGCACAAGAACACAGGAGACCUACCAACUGCAUGUUUCAGGCCUUAGCCAAAAUAAUCAGAGAGCAAACGCUCAGUAUGCGUGGAGGUGCCGCUCCGCUGGAGCUCAAUUAACUUCUCUGUACAGCUUGCAAUGAUGUCAAGCGCAAGUAUUUUUUUUGCUUUUCUCGCUGCUGUGUAAUGGGACAAGCCGUACAAUUAGCAAUCUGGGACAAGCCGUACAAUUAGCAAUCUUCUGUUGUUCUUCAUCAAUGAGAAAAUAGCUUAGAGUCCAAAGAUAGUCUUGCCCUUUAUGGAAUAAUUAUAGCCGUGUCACCUUGGGAAAUCGGCGUACGAG